GCUUGUCUCAAAGAUUAAGCCAUGCAUGUCUAAGUAUAAGCCUUUAUAUGGUGAGACUGCGAAUGGCUCAUUAAAUCAGAAACUGUUUAUUUGAUAGUGCCUACUACAUGGAUACCUGUAGUAAUUCUAGAGCUAAUACAUGCAAAAAGCCUGGACUUCUGGAACAGGCGUAUUUAUUAGAUAUACAAACCAACCGCUUCGGCGACCCUUGGUGACUCAUAAUAACUUCGCGAAUCGUUUUCGGACGAUGAUUCAUUCAAAUUUCUGCCCUAUCAGCUUUUGAUGGUAAGGUAUUGGCCUACCAUGGUUACCACGGGUAACGGGGAAUUAGGGUUCGGUUCCGGAGAGGGGGCCUGAGAAAUGGCCACCACAUCCAAGGAAGGCAGCAGG
rnacentral:rRNA from 1 species